UACGUAGGUGGCUAUAUAAGCGCAUGGUGAAAGGCAGAGGCUUAACCACUGUUAGCCUUGCGAACUGUAUAGCUUGAGUGCAGGAGAGGGAAGCGGAAUUCCUAGUGUAGCGGUGAAAUGCGUAGAUAUUAGGAGGAACACCAGUGGCGAAGGCGGCUUUCUGGACUGUAACUGACACUGAGGUACGAAAGCGUGGGGAGCAAACA
rnacentral:rRNA from 1 species